ensembl:snRNA U6 U6 spliceosomal RNA
GUGCUCACUUUGGAACACUCUACUACAUUACUACAGCACAUUACUACAAUUGGAAUGAUAUAGAGGUUAGCACAGCCCCUGCGCAAGGAUGAUACACAAAUUCAUGAAGCGUUCCACAUUUUU